UGGGGAAUUUUGGACAAUGGGCGAAAGCCUGAUCCAGCCAUGCCGCGGGAGUGAAGAAGGCCUUCGGGUUGUAAAGCUCUUUUAGUCGGAAAGAAAGAGUUGCAAUGAAUAAUUGUGAUUUAUGACGGUACCGACAGAAAAAGCACCGGCUAACUACGUGCCAGCAGCCGCGGUAAUACGUAGGGUGCGAGCGUUAAUCGGAAUUACUGGGCGUAAAGGGUGCGCAGGCGGUCUUGCAAGUCAGAUGUGAAAGCCCCGGGCUUAACCUGGGAAUUGCGUUUGAAACUACAAGACUAGAGUGCAGCAGAGGGGAGUGGAAUUCCAUGUGUAGCAGUGAAAUGCGUAGAGAUGUGGAAGAACACCGAUGGCGAAGGCAGCUCCCUGGGUUGACACUGACGCUCAUGCACGAAAGCGUGGGGAGCAAACA
rnacentral:rRNA from 1 species